rnacentral:rRNA from 1 species
AUACGGAAGGUGCGAGCGUUAAUCGGAAUUACUGGGCGUAAAGGGCGCGUAGGCGGCACUGUAAGUCAGAUGUGAAAGUCCAGGGCUUAACCCUGGAAGUGCAUCUGAUACUGCAGAGCUUGAGUAUCGGAGGGGAAAGUAGAAUUCCCGGUGUAGAGGUGAAAUUCGUAGAUAUCGGGAGGAAUACCGGUGGCGAAGGCGACUUUCUGGACGAAUGCUGACGCUGAUGCGCGAAAGCGUGGGGAGC